rnacentral:lncRNA from 1 species
AGCAACGCACACAGCUUCAGCAGUAGAUAGAGCCACAGAAUUUUGCUUUUUGGUAGCCCAUAACAGAAGGCAUGAACCAAGGAAGUGUGCCAUACUUGAGGUGCUUUUCCUGUCCACUAAGAAACCUGCAUAAUCAUCAUCAACAUAUCUUACUAGAUCAAAAUUACUACCAUUAGGAUACCAAAGGCACAUAUUAGUGGUGCUUUUCAGCUAUCUCAAUAUCCUCUUGACAGUAGUCAAGUGGGACUCUUUUGGAUUUGCAUGAACAAUGAUAACAAAGCCCUAUACUAAAAACAAUGUCAGGUAUGCUUGCAGUAAGAUACAAGAUGAACCAAUCAUACCCCUAUAUAACUUUUGAUCAACUGAUGAACCAGGUUCAUCAAUAUCUAAUUUUGUGUCAGUUGCAACAUGUGUGUCUAUUUCUUUAGAAUCCUCUAUUUUAAACUUUUUGAUUAGCUCUUUUGUAUACUUCUGCUGAUGGAUCAUAGUUCCAUUUUGACUUUGUUUGAUCUGCAAGCCUAGAAAGAAGUUAAGCUCACCCAUCAUGCUCAUUUUAAACUCACUCCCCAUUAGUUUUGCAAAUUCCUUACUUAGCCUAUCAAUAGUAGCCCCAAAUAUUAUGUCACCCACAUAAAUUUGCACAAUAAGGAGAUCUUUACCUUUUUCCCUUAAGAAUAAGGUACUGUCAAUUUUACCUCUGUUGUAACCAUGCUCCAGUAGGAAUUUGGAUAGUCAUUCAUACCAAGAUCUUGGGGCAUGCUUGAGCAAAUAAAUAGCUUUAUCUUACUUGUACACAUGAUUAGGACAUUCCUUGAUCUCAAACCCUGGAGGUUGUUUCACAAACAUUUUUUUCCUUUAGGUAGCCAUUCAGGAAGGCACUUUUGACAUCCAUCUGAUAGAGAGUGAAUUCCAUGUGUGCUGCAAAGGAUAUGAGGAGUCUGAUUGCUUAAAGUCUUGCAACUGGAGCAAAUGUCUCAUCAUAGUCUAUGCCCUCCUCUUGGCUGUAUCCUUGUACCACCAGUCUUGCUUUGUUUGUUGUAACUGUUCAAUCUUCUUCGAGUUUGCUUCUGAAGACCCAUUUUGUUCUAAUGUUUGAUCUUUCCUUGGGUCUUGGAACUAGAUGCCAAACUUGACUUCUUUCAAAUUGGUUGAGUUCAUCCUGCAGUGCAUUCACCCAAUCUGCAUCCUGCAAAGCCUCAACAACAUUUUUAGGUUCAACAAGAGAUAGGAAAGCAUCAAAAGCACAC